rnacentral:rRNA from 1 species
AGCAGCAGCCACGGGAAUACGGAGGGUGCAAGCGUUAAUCGGAAUUACUGGGCGUAAAGCGCACGCAGGCGGUCUGUCAAGUCAGAUGUGAAAUCCCCGGGCUUAACCUGGGAACUGCAUUUGAAACUGGCAGGCUAGAGUCUUGUAGAGGGGGGUAGAAUUCCAGGUGUAGCGGUGAAAUGCGUAGAGAUCUGGAGGAAUACCGGUGGCGAAGGCGGCCCCCUGGACAAAGACUGACGCUCAGGUGCGAAAGCGUCGGGAGCAAACAGGAUUAGAUACCCGUGUAGUCCCUGUCUCUUAUAC